rnacentral:rRNA from 1 species
AUUGAACGCUGGCGGCAGGCCUAACACAUGCAAGUCGAGCGGAACGGGGGACGGGCGAGUGAUGCCUAUGAGUGGGCCUGCUCGUGGGGGAUAACGACCGAAAACAGGCGCUAAUAACGCAUACGCGCAGAUGAGCGUAGCCCGGAUUAGCUAGUUGGUGGGGUAAGGGCUUACCAAGGCGACGAUCCGUAACUGGUCUGAGAGGAUGAUCAGUCACACUGGAACUGAGACACGGUCCAGACUCCUACGGGAGGCAGCAGUGGGGAAUAUUGCACAAUGGGCGCAAGCCUUAUCCAGCCAUGCCGCGUGUGUGAAGAAGGUCCUCGGAUUGUAAAGCACUUUCAGUUGGGAGGCGUUACCAACAGAAUAAGCACCGGCUAACUCCGUGCCAGCAGCCGCGGUAAUAC